rnacentral:lncRNA from 1 species
GUUUGGUAAUGAUGAAAAGUAAAAGGAAAGAAAAACAAUGUAAAUAGUUUUUGAAAAGUAUUCCAGACCUUGGUUGCAACAACAAAGAAAAUUGUUAUUUAAGCACCUUUUGCUUAGUUUUUCCAGCUUUUCCCCUAUAAUUUUAUAAUAACGAGAGUUAAGUACUCUACCGUUUAAGAGCGAAUGAUAGUUAACUAUUGUUGAGAGGCGGUGCUUGUGAACAAUUGCUAUAUGCCUAAAGAACAAUUUCCAAAAACAAAUUAAAGUGGUCCGACCAAGUUGACCUUUUUGGCUUAGCUGGGUCCCCCUAUUCAUUCAAUUUUUUAAUCAUCUCAUACCUUCUUUCCAGUACCCAAUAUUUCUAAAAACACUUGAUCUGUGCCUAAUUAAGGGUUGGUGUACAUGCAAUGCAAGAAGAACCAUCAUUAACACAAUUUCUCAACUCUCAUCUAAGAAACAUAACAUAACCAUGAGUUUCUAUAAUUCGUUUUAUC